CGGGACGGGGUGAGUAAUGUCUGGGAAACUGCCUGAUGGAGGGGGAUAACUACUGGAAACGGUAGCUAAUACCGCAUAACGUCGCAAGACCAAAGAGGGGGACCUCGGGCCUCUUGCCAUCGGAUGUGCCCAGAUGGGAUUAGCUAGUAGGUGGGGUAACGGCUCACCUAGGCGACGAUCCCUAGCUGGUCUGAGAGGAUGACCAGCCACACUGGAACUGAGACACGGUCCAG
rnacentral:rRNA from 1 species